rnacentral:rRNA from 1 species
AUACGGAGGAUACGAGCGUUAUCCGGAUUUAUUGGGUUUAAAGGGUGCGCAGGCGGACCGUUAAGUCAGGGGUGAAAAGUUCGGGCUCAACCUGAAUCGUGCCUUUGAUACUGGCGGACUAGAGUGCGAAAGGCGGGGCCGGAAUGGGGUGUGUAGCGGUGAAAUGCUUAGAUAUGCCACAGAACACCGAUCGAGAAGUCAGGUCACGAGUUCGAAACUGACGCUCAUGCACGAAAGCGUGGGGAUCAAACAGGAUUAGAUACCCUGGUAGUCCACGCCGUAAACGAUGAUCACUCGUUGCCGGGCAGUGAUGUUCGGUGGCCAAGCGAAAGCGAUAAGUGAUCCACCUGGGGAGUACGAUCGCAAGGUUGAAACUCAAAGGAAUCGACGGGG